rnacentral:rRNA from 1 species
AGUGUUAUUCAUCUUUAACAGGUAUAUAGGGUACCUAGACGGUGUGCAAUGGCUUAAAUAAGUACUGGUACACUUGAGUUUGAUAUGUGAGAGGAAUAUGUCGGAAUUGUUGGAGGAAAGAUGAAAUUUGUUAAUACCAAUAGGACUGAUAACGGCGAAGGCAAACCUCUAUGUACAUGUACUUGCUAUUUCUGUUUGUUUAUUUUUUUUCCUAACUUUUUUUUCAUAUAUUAUAAUAUAUGAAAAAAAGUCAGAAAAAAAAGAAACUAAAACAAAGGAAUUUCUCUUAUAAAAGAUAUCAGAUAGAUAAAGAGGAAAAGAGCAAUGUACUAUAACUGACGUUGAGGGACGAAGGCUCAGAGAGUGAAGAGGAUUAGAUACCCCCGUAACCUGGGCAGACAAUGAUGAGUGCCAUAGGUUGGCUUUAAGGCGGAACUAUAAAUGAAAGUGGAAGCACUCCACCUCAAGAGUAAUGUGGCAACGCAGGAACUGAAAUCAUUAGACCGUUUCUGAAACCAGUAGUGAAGU